CCCGGCUUCCCACGCGGCGUCAUCUUGCGAACUCCCCCAGGGCCGAAAGGCAGCAAGGGUAAGUGAGCUCUGGCGGGUGCGUGGGAAGUCCUUUAC
rfam:Brevibacterium yomogidense strain B Co 03.10 genome assembly, contig: Scaffold11